AGUGGUGGACGGGUGAGUAACGCGUGAGAAUCUGCCUUGGGGUCGGGGACAACCACUGGAAACGGUGGCCAAUACCGGAUAAGCCGAUUGGUGAAAGAUUUAUUGCCCGAAGAGGAGCUCGCGUCUGAUUAGCUAGUUGGUGAGGUAAGAGCUCACCAAGGCAGCGAUCAGUAGCUGGUCUGAGAGGACGAUCAGCCACACUGGGACUGAGACACGGCCCAGACUCCUACGGGAGGCAGCAGUGGGGAAUUUUCCGCAAUGGGCGAAAGCCUGACGGAGCAAGACCGCGUGAGGGAGGAAGGCUCUUGGGUUGUAAACCUCUUUUCUCAGGGAAGAAGCUCUGACGGUACCUGAGGAAUCAGCCUCGGCUAACUCCGUGCCAGCAGCCGCGGUAAUACGGAGGAGGCAAGCGUUAUCCGGAAUUAUUGGGCGUAAAGCGUCCGCAGGUGGCGAUUCAAGUCUGCUGUCAAAGCACGGGGCUUAACUCCGUAAAGGCAGUGGAAACUGAAUAGCUAGAGUGCCGUAGGGGUAGAGGGAAUUCCCGGUGUAGCGGUGAAAUGCGUAGAGAUCGGGAAGAACAUCGGUGGCGAAAGCGCUCUACUGGACGGCAACUGACACUCAGGGACGAAAGCUAGGGGAGCGAAUGGGAUUAGAUACCCC
rnacentral:rRNA from 1 species